rnacentral:rRNA from 1 species
ACGGCUGGCGCGGGCAACCCUGCUAGGCGAGCGGCGGACGGGUGAGUAAUACAUCGGAACGUGUCCUUUCGUGGGGGAUAACCAGUCGAAAGACUGGCUAAUACCGCAUGAGAUCGUAAGAUGAAAGCGAGGGACCGCAAGGCCUCGCGCGAUUGGAGCGGCCGAUGUCGGAUUAGCUAGUUGGCGGGGUAAAAGCCCACCAAGGCGACGAUCCGUAGCUGGUUUGAGAGAACGACCAGCCACACUGGGACUGAGACACGGCCCAGACUCCUACGGGAGGCAGCAGUGGGGAAUUUUGGACAAUGGGCGCAAGCCUGAUCCAGCCAUGCCGCGUGUGUGAAGAAGGCCUUCGGGUUGUAAAGCACUUUCGGCCGGAACGAAAUCGCCUUCGUUAAUAGCGGGGGUGGAUGACGGUACCGGAAGAAGAAGCACCGGCUAACUACGUGCCAGCAGCCGCGGUAAUACGUAGGGUGCGAGCGUUAAUCGGAAUUACUGGGCGUAAAGGGUGCGCAGGCGGUUCCGCAAGUCAGGCGUGAAAUCCCCGGGCUUAACCUGGGAAUGGCACUUGAAACUACGGGACUGGAGUAUGGCAGAGGGAGGUGGAAUUCCACGUGUAGCGGUGAAAUGCGUAGAGAUGUGGAGGAACACCGAUGGCGAAGGCAGCCUCCUGGGCCAAUACUGACGCUCAUGCACGAAAGCGUGGGGAGCAAACAGGAUUAGAUACCCUGGUAGUCCACGCCCUAAACGAUGAUGACUAGUUGUUGGAGGAGUUAAAUCCUUUAGUAACGCAGCUAACGCGAGAAGUCAUCCGCCUGGGGAGUACGGUCGCAAGAUUAAAACUCAAAGGAA